AUCAAGGUGACCAGGGACCACGGGUACGUGACUCACGCCAACGACUGCUUCUCGCUCGGCAGAACUGUGGGUAACGGGCUUGGGAUGCGUGAAAUUCUUUGGAUAGCGUGUGCCGGCGGCCUGGCCAAGUACAACAAGAACCAAAAGUCUGCUUAUUUUAAAACCAAAAUGGGGAGAAAACAUACAGAUGACCUUAAAAGACAAGAGGUCGUCCUCAGAUCCAGAUCUGUAAUCAUUCCCAGCUCCGUCGUUUGACAUGUCUACCAAAGUCGAACCAUUUGAUAAGUAGCGUGGAAUUGAAAUAUAUGAAAGCUGUAAACGUAUGCCGUCUUUGCCAUUUUGCAGGAACUGCUUUUUUUUUUUUUUUUUUUCUUCUCCACGGUUGACAAAUACUCAUGUUACCCUAAUGCUGCAAGAGACCAGAGGCUAGACCGUUUGAAUUCAAGGUCCAAGAUUAAGUUCCGAUCAUCAACCACUACCGGUACCGCUCUCAAGAACUCUUUGUUUGUCACUUCCUCGUGGGAAUGCUUCUAAUUGUAUUUGAUGGAGGUUUGCGUACAAGAGAACGCCACAUCGGCUUGUCAAUUGUCACAAGAAGCAGGCGUCUCCCAAGCGGAUCGGGUUCCGAUCCCUGACUGGCGCCCGCUCAGACGUCACCGAUAACUCGGUCGGCUCUCCUCUGAGCCGCUCGCGCACGCACUGCAAAGCGUUACGUUUCAUACGAGCGGGGAGUCUGUCCAAAUGGCCUUCCCUGUGAAAUUGAAUUACGCCACGCGUCUUGCGUUACACGGCCGCAGUGACUCUCGUUUGAUUUUUUUUUUUUUUUUUUUUACGUGUUUAGCCGUGCCCGCGCUAAUAAUUGUUAUUGCUUUGGUCGAUUUGAAUGCGAAGCAGACCACUACAAAACAGUACAAAGGGAGGGAAACAUUGUUCUCCAGACAAGCUGACCGACGUGAACCGGCUCCUUUCGGCUAGGAUUUCACGGUUGCCCAUAAUUUGUACCCUUUUAACCUAGGAAAUGGAGUCAUCUGUCUCUCGCAGUUAAAUGAUUCAUACCUCUGAGGGAGCAGCAGGGCUGACAGCACAGUAACAAGGACCAGCCAAAGCCUAUUUGUCAUCCAGAGUCAAUAAAUAAACUGUCCGCUUCCAGAUACUAUUUCAUUAACGUUCAAUUUCGCAGCCGCAUUAUUCUCAAAUGGCUACAAACCAACAUCCAGACGCGUACGAAGGACAACAAGAGUUAUUAUCCAAAUCCCAUUACCUCGCCAGAGUGGCUCAUUGAUUGUGCAUGUUCGACGGGGGAACAUUUUGGGGAAACAAGUCCUAACGGGACGAGGCCUGCCCGACCUCGCGUUUGUCUCGCUGUCGUGUAACGCGCAGGGUCUGAGUUCAGAGUCCGACGGAGACGCGUAAACACGACGCAGCCGGGUCGCACGAGAGUCAAUCGUUUCAAUUGUGAGGUCGCGUCACAUGCGUCCCGAAGACCGAGAAACCGCACGUGGCCCAUAGUCCCAACUGCCCAUGUCAGCCCGGCCACGUGUUGAGCCCCAUUGGUGAAAAUCCGAGUUCCAAAUCAACCAAUAACGAAACGCGUUUGCCAGUUUCCCCCCCCCCCAAAAAAAAAAACGCGCGGCUAGGACGUGGCCACUAGCCUCGGAUUCGGUCGGCAGCGGGACCAUGCCUGCGAAUCCUGUGAAUGCGAAAAAUUCUGUCCAUUUACUCAUUUGGCGCCCAGCGUUAUGUCAUUUCCAGUGUUCGCUUGAACCGGGCAGCGGAUAAAAGUGGCGCAUCGUAUCAAUGUCAAAUCUGAGGCCAUCGCAUGCCUCCGACUCGGCUCUUAAAUGUAUUGAACCCAUCUGUGCGCGUUGCCACUAAUCCUGGCCACAUAUGGAGACAAGCCUUGCCGGCUGUAAGUGGGCUCGGGCCGGUUCUGGUGUGGUUAAAAAGAUGCGUGUUCUGGCCGGGGUCCGAUGCGGCAGCUGUUCCUGAUUGUCCUUGGAGCUGCUUUUCCAUCGACUCCACUGGAGGCACAUCAGUGAAUAACCAACAUCCGUCUUUGGUUGUUGUUGUUGUUGUUUAUUUUUUCAACAGGGACUCUGAACGGCUUGGACUUGUCCGUUGGCCUCGGUAGUGCAGGAUCACCACAGAUAGUAAAUCUUUUGUUUUCUCUUGCAGAGGUCUGUUCCCUUUUUUUAAGGAUUUGAUACAAAAUGAGACGGUCCACGCGAGCUGAACGACAAAAUUCAGAUCCGGCCUUUGCACAAUCCCUCCAAAUAAUCAUCUCUUGAGCAUGGUGUAUUCGCCUUGACCGUAAUCCAGUAUUCCACUUUUCGAGACGCUCGAGGUUGUCAAUAAGAUAUUUGACUUCAAUACCAGUUAUGAGUAGUUGUGUGCCGUUGAAGCGUAUUUCCAGCUGUGUUAUUUCUGCUGGGGGGCCUCAGCGAAAGUCCUUGAAAGACCAGUGGCAUCCAACCGGGCCACGCUUUUUGAAUUAUCUUGGCAAAACCGGGAUGGUUGCACCGAAGACACGUUUGGAUUGGCCACAUUUGAACUCCGCUUCAAACGUAUCGGAAGAUAAAGCUAAAAAUUAAAUUAAAAUAACUCGAACUUGCAACACAGCAGGCGCCAUUUUCAAGAAUAAUAAAACGGAACCGUUACCGACGGACUGAAAAGUUGCCAAAACACACCUGCUCACAAAAGGGGGGUGAUACGAGACCGUCCGAGAACCAGCUCUAGCACACCCUCAAGUGUAGCGGUCACUUUCUUAUGCAUAAACCUCAGCUUUACAGAUGCCGGAUCUGCUCUCGUGACCGUACAGAGCACGAGUGCUCCGAAAACCAAGGGAGAGGGUUUUGCAAGUCAACCUCGGUGAACUUUGAGUUCUAACAAAGCAUGUGAACCCCAAAUGAUUGAAACAUUGCUGGAGUGACAUUAAAGUUUGUUUCCAGUUCUACGAACGCCAGCGUUUUCCCCCUUUCUUCACUUUUCAUGAGCGGAUCGUGUCUGACAUGAGCAUUGUUGACCGGGUAAUUUGGGAAGCGUUGGCCCGAAUUCCCUUGAUGUCGGAACAACCCGACGUCUCAAUUUACCACCGCGCUCGGAUUCAAAGUCGAUUGUGUGAUAAUCAUGUCAACAACUGCCCCGUGUGUUUAUAGCAUGUGGCACAAACAACAGGGAAUGAUUACUUGGUGAUUUUUAUUGGAGCGCCACGGGACGCGAUUUCAUAAGUUUCUGAAAAGUUGCGCGUUUGUAAUCCGAUCCUGUGCUUUGAAGAUGGGGUCUUCGCACUCUUUUUCAUGUCAACGUGGCUGACUUUCUGUUCCAUUUCAGACGGGUCUUAAUGCCCUAGAGCCAUCCGCUCUUUUGGGACCGUCACUUUUUGGCUUUCCCGAGUUGGGACGGGGUCUUCCGUUGUGUGUUUGAAUCUCUUGAAUGUGUGCGUUGUGCCGUGUGUACCCCUUUUAGGGAUUGCCCGGUCCCCCCACGUUAGCCGCUUUGCACAGCAAUCAGAUCCUGACCGUGAAGGUUUGUCGGCGGCAGCGUCGCCCCCGCUGCACAGUGGCGUCCCUCCGCUGCACUGGCCACAACCGUAGCCAUAUUCGGCCCUCCGUUGUCACAACUUGGCUUCACCCGCAACGUCCACAGGUUGAAAGCAUUGACGGCCUGCGCUCCACUAAUAUGCGGCCUUCUAGAGCAAGAGACAGAAUCCCCAAACCAGGACGUGGUCUGGUUAGUGUUCAUUGACGUUCAAAGAACAGGGGAAACGCCAAGGAAAACACCAUGCUGGUGAACCUAUGUGGCAAAGCGCUGUUUUUCAAGUUCACGCCAACGGUUCACCACAAAUCCUUAAAUCCAUCAGCGUGGCAGUCUGCACUGUUUCAGCGAGCGCUAACGCCGCUUCCUGCCGGUGGACAGCGGCAACGAGGCGUUUGUGCAUUGAGCAGCUCCUGGGGUUCCACUUUGCAGCAGGGACAAUGACGAUGGCGGCGUUUUCACAGAGACUGAGAAAUUCCCCAAUUGUCCACAUAUUUCGACUUGAUUAUAGCCUUGAGGCACCGAAAACAAAACAAAACAAAAAGGAGACUUUCUAAUCAUGCUGCCUCUUGUGGUCUAAAAGUGUGAAGUUCUCUUAUCUGUGAAGAUGUUCCGAAAAAGUUCAACAUUUGUAGACCUUUGAUUCAAUCUUUUUCUGUUUUUUUGGUGCAUUCACUUUCCGACCACUCCUCCUUCCUCUUCUUCUGGGAUCUCCUCCUCCUCCUCUCGCCUCUGACCCGCUCGCCCGCUCAGAUGGUCUUCCCUAAGAUCAAUCACGGCUUUCUUUCCGCUGACCAGCAGCUCAUAAAGCGGCGCCUCAUUAAGGGAGAUCAGGGGCAAGCCGGACCACCCGGGCCUCCCGGGCCCCCAGGUCCUCCUGGGCCGCGGGGGCCACCGGGGGACACGGGCAAGGAUGGGCCGAGGGGCGUACCGGGCCUUCCGGGUGAGCAAGGCAGUCCAGGAGAAACCGGACCCGUGGGACCUGAGGGACCUCCAGGACUCAAGGGUUCGCUGGGGCCUCCUGGUACUCCAGGCGUUGACGGACUGAAGGGGGAUCUUGGCGUCCCGGGACUGGACGGCAUCCCCGGAGCCAAGGGUGAAAUGGGAGAGCAAGGUGAAAAGGGCGAUAUGGGUGAGGAAGGACCAAAAGGCGAAAUUGGGGAGAAGGGAGAUGCAGGCUCCUCUGCAGCAGGCAUCAAGGGCGAACCCGGAGAGCCCGGAAGAAGCGGACACAAGGGAGAGCCAGGACUUCCAGGGCUGCCUGGACUCCCAGGGAUUAAGGGAGAGCCAGGAUUCCUUGGUCCCCAGGGAGAGCCAGGUCUGCCAGGCCUUCCAGGAACUAAGGGCGAGAGAGGCGAGCACGGAGCGCCCGGAAAAGGCGAGCGAGGCGAAGUUGGACCGGUCGGGGCAAAGGGUUCGCAAGGAGAGGCUGGCACCCCCGGUCCCAAAGGGUCAAAGGGUGAAACCGGAGAUAAAGGAGACUAUGGGCCCGCGGGGCCAAAGGGCCCGUCUGGGCAAAAAGGAGACCCGGGGGCCACCGAAAUCAUCGACUAUAAUGGGAAUAUUCAGGAAGCGUUACAGAGGAUUACCACUGUUACUGUGACGGGCCCGCCGGGUCCUCCCGGCCCUGUGGGACCGCACGGAAUCAAGGGGGACCGCGGUUUGCCUGGCCUCCCGGGACUUGACGGCGAACGUGGCUACAAGGGUUCCAAAGGAGACAUGGGAAUGCCCGGAGCGUCGGGAGACAAAGGAGCAACCGGUUUACCUGGUUUACCUGGUGUGAAUGGGGUGAAAGGAGACAAGGGAGAUUCGGGUCUCCCCGGUCCACAAGGUUCUUCAAUUAUUGGCCCUCCAGGGGCGCCAGGACCUCAUGGGCCCCCGGGACCUAUGGGACCCCACGGUUUCCCAGGACCGAAGGGGGAGCCUGGUUUGCACGGUACCAAGGGGGCGCGUGGGGAACCAGGCCAUAAGGGGGACCGAGGACCCUUGGGUCUCCCUGGAGCCUCCGGUCUGGACGGCAAGCCCGGGAUUAGGGGCACCGACGGACCCGCGGGUCCAGCUGGUCCGGCCGGCCCGAAGGGGGACAGAGGCGAGCGAGGGGCGGCGGGGGACCCUGGACCGAGGGGGCCCUACGGAUUGCCUGGAGCAGCGGGGACACCGGGCUUGGAUGGGUUGCCAGGUUUGACAGGAGAGAAAGGCGACGUUGGGGAAAGAGGAGAGAAGGGGGAGAAGGGAAAGAAGGGAAAAAAAGGGCCUAAGGGCGAGAAAGGAGAACAGGGUGCCCCCGGAUUAGAUGCACCCUGCCCAUUGGGUCCCGACGGCUUGCCGAUGCCUGGCUGCUGGCAGAAGUGAUCACGCUAACCUGAAACGCAUGGAGUUUGUAAAUAAUGCUUUUUUUGGGAGCAAAAGAAACCCUGGGAUGCUUCACACCCCCUAAAACUGCUUCUACUCACAUCACCGCCUGGGGGUAAAACAAAAAACAAAACAAAACAAAACCUGCGUGGGCCGCCCUCACAUCCACUUUGUUUGUGCGUGCGUGCGUGUGUGUGUGUGUGUGUUCGUUUCCGAGGUCGCGGCGGAACUUUACUGCGUCCUCGACCGGCUGGGGCGCCGCAGGGCUCUGGCCUCAGCCCACCGGGACUCGGAGACAGGAAGCGGGGGCAAACACGGACUGGUCCCCCUGAGCUCGUUUUACGUUGUCAUUCGUUUCCUCGCAAAAAGCAUGUUUAUAUGUCUUGUGCGCACUGUUUUGGCUUCUGCGGAGGAAAAACUAACGACAACAAAAAGAGUGAGAAAUGUGAUGAUGAUUAUUAUUAUUAUUAUUUUUUUUUUUUUUUACAUUUCCACUUUUCCUAAAUCUUCCCAAGGGAGUAACGCCAUGGCUGGUGGCCUGAAAAGUCCCGAAAGUGUAAGAUGUUUGUGGCUUGAAGGCGCCCCCCCGUGCCCGCGGGAGGCGAUGAUGGGCGCCGCCCGCCGGGUCCGCCCGCUGUGUCCGCCGGGUACGGGGUGCCCACACCUCCUUUCGUUGGCUGCACUGAUAAAGAGUCCACAAAGGGUUUUAGUUGGGACGGGUGACACACACCCGGAAGGACGGUUUCCGUGGCGACGGUUGAGGAUCUACUGAGGGUGUUUUUGGAUUUUGUGUUUUUUAACGUCGGCGAUCUCGCAAGCGACCCGAGAUGUGCGCAUGUUUGCCUGUCGGCUGCUUCUUCUAUCCAUCACAAAAUAUGAAUAUGUAUUUCGAGCAAAUUUUUGCAAGUCUUGGGGGAGAAAAAAAGAUAAUCAUCAUUGGAGAAUAUUUCCAGUCGAUGGGCUGAAAUCGGAGGAUUUGGACAAUUUUUCAACAAUGGCUCUGGAUGAUUAAUCGAUAAACAAAACACUCGUCGACGUUUUUAAUUGGUCGAUCAUCAAAGUACUUGAUUGAUUUGAGAAUUGGUGGCAGCACUCUGAGGUCAAAGUGCAUCGAUAGAAAAGAAAAAUAAUUGCCAUGAUGUUUGCUUUUCUCGUUGUUUUCUUUUUUUGGGGGGCGUAUCAUCGCCUUUGGUGCCUGAAGCUUUGAUUCAUUCCUUUAUAGUCAAUUUUUUUUCAAUUGUGUGUGUUUUUUUUUUAUUAUUAUUUCAUGCUACUUUGGAGUGUCACUUCACUGCAUGCACAUUUGAACGUAUUAAAAAUGUUAGCGCCCGCCCCCCCCCCCCCCACGCCGCCAUUUUUGUGCAUUAUGUUUCUUUAGUCGCUGCUACGCGAAGUGGUUUACCUCCCAAAUAUGCAGAAGGAACAUUUCUUUGUUUAUGGUUGCCGCCGAUUUGUUGCAUUUCUAAUUUGAUGAUAUAAUUUAUUUUUAUAUAAUUUCUUGGAUUGCUUGGAUAUUUUUUUUUUGUUUUAAUCCAAGCGGCAUUCCUCUGCGUUUCUUGGGCGUCGCCGUGACGACACAGAUACAUGCUCCGGCUUUUAUUUCGGCGGCCAAUGUGAUGCGUUUUUUUUUCACUUUUUUUUUUUUUUGCGUCGAAUGUAGUUUGGUCUCCAUCCAUAUUUUGUGUCUGAUUUGAUAUUUACGUGCUGUCGCGAUGUGUCCUUGUUUGACAAAAGUGCAAUUUUAUGAUGACCGUUUGUGUGGAAUGCUGCUGGAACGUCAUAUUUGAGUAAUUUUUGUGUCUCCCUUUUUGGUCCAGUUGUGCGCCCCAUUUUGAAUAAACCACUUUUGUGUGUGUGUGUGUGGGGGGGGGGGGUUGACAAAUAUUACAAAAGUGAACUUUCAUAUACUUCUCCAGUUCAAAUGCUGUCCAUUCAUCUCGUGUGUGCGUUCCCACAAAUAAUGACUAUUAAUGUAUUUUUAGUGUUCCUCUUUGGUUUUGGGAUGGUUGUCCGCACAUAUAUUGCAGCUAUUUUUUAUUUUAAUUUUUUUUAAAUUCAGUUUUCGUUCACGUUUUCCUUCCUGGUAUUGAUUUUGACAAACAACGUGUAGAAAUGUCAUUGUUUGAUUGGAAACAUAUAUGUACUAUUUUUUUGAUUGUUUUUGGAGUUUCUAGUUUCUGUUCAGCAUUUGUAUUAUUUUUAUAUGUAUAUACAUUUUUUUUUACUCAUUUGACAUUUCUUUCAAAAAAAAUUGUUGAAACUCAGCUGACUGUCCUGUUGGAGCCAAAUAAACGCAGUCUUUCAAACGCAUUUUUUUAAAAUUAUGUAUGUAUAUUUUUUAAUGUUUUGGGGGAAACUGGAAAAAUAUGUAA